rnacentral:lncRNA from 1 species
AUUUUAUGAUAGUUUGGCUGAGAUUUUCCAAAAUGCUGUCCUCUGGACACGACCAGUUAUCCUUUCCUGCUGAGAAGCAAAAACCAUCUGAAGUCUCCCAUCAGCACUCUGUUUGUCCUUCAUGCUCUUUGGAUUGUACGUGUGACAACUGGGCAGGAGAAACCAUUAAUGAUCAUGAAGUGGAAGUCCAUGAUGAGGAUGGUAAACCAUAAGGUGGAAGGAGUCUGAGACCCUGAACAAAAAAAGAGAUUGAAGAGUGAAAGAUCAAGAGGGAAUGAUUCCUUGGGAGCAGCAGUUGACAAAGCAAAUUACAGAAUAUACUCAGUGAGAAUCAGAUGAAACACGGGAGAUAAAAGGCUCCGGACCAAGAGGUCCCAGCGAAGCAUUAAGAGGAGAAAGGCUGCAACCAGGAAGUCCACACACUUACAGCUGCUUCCAGGACCCGGUGCUCACCCAGUAACAAAGCCACCUCUGUCUGGGAAAACCACAGCAAGGCGAGGCAGGGAGCAGAAAGCCUUUAAUUGGGGUGGCCAACA